CACGGGAGUCCGAAAGGGCUGAGAGGAAGCGUAGCUUCGACCGUCGAACCUGAUCCGGGUCAUGCCGGCGCAGGGAGGACCU
rnacentral:ncRNA from 1 species